GUGAAAUAUUGCAAAUCCAGAUGUGGUAUAUGAAUCAAGGAAAAGGUAUUGCACUCACAUUUGUUGGAGCUUGAACCAGCUCUAGGAUAAAGGGCACUUAGUGGUUUAAUCCCCACUACAGGAUAUACUUGGAUGGUCGGUCCGUCCGUCCGGCUUGGAUUCCUUCAGGUUGCUUAAAUAUAAGCCAGGACCAGUUCAGAUGUA